rnacentral:rRNA from 1 species
UACGAAGGGUGCAAACGUUGCUCGGAAUUAUUGGGCGUAAAGCGCACGUAGGCGGUUCGGAAAGUCCCCAUGUGAAAUCCCCACAGCUUAACUGUGGAAGUGCAUGGGAAACCUCCGGACUUGAGUACGAAAGAGGAUCGCGGAAAUUCCCGGUGUAGAGGUGAAAUUCGUAGAUAUCGGGAGGAACACCAGUGGCGAAGGGCGGACGAUCCUGGGGUCGGAUAACUGACCGCUGGAGGUGCCGAAAG